AACUUAGCUCAGCUGGUCCAGAGCGCGUGACUUGUAAUCUCGAGGUCCAGGGUUCGAAUCCCUGAGU
rnacentral:tRNA from 1 species